rnacentral:misc_RNA from 1 species
CACGAAUUGCAGACGCUUAGAGUGGUGAAAUUUUGAACGCAUAGCGCCGUUGGGUUUUCCCUUCGGCACGUCUGGUUCAGGGUUGUUAAUGAAUUUCUACAGUGUGGCUAACUCUAACACUGUUUGUCGAAUGGUCAUUGUCAAAUAUUGUGAUGAUUCCCAUUUCAGUUCAAGAAUAAUACAUGCAACAUGAUGUUAAUGUUGUAAUGACAUUAAUGUUCCUGUAUGAUGUAA